CAGCCGCCGCGGUAAAACGAAGGGGGCUAGCGUUGCUCGGAAUUACUGGGCGUAAAGGGCGCGUAGGCGGCACUGUUAGUCAGGCGUGAAAUUCCCGGGCUCAACCUGGGGACUGCGCUUGAUACGGCAGAGCUUGAGGAUGGAAGAGGGUCGUGGAAUUCCCAGUGUAGAGGUGAAAUUCGUAGAUAUUGGGAAGAACACCGGUGGCGAAGGCGGCGACCUGGUCCAUUACUGACGCUGAGGCGCGACAGCGUGGGGAGCAAACAGGAUUAGAUACCCCAGUAGUCCCUGUCUCUUAUAC
rnacentral:rRNA from 1 species